rnacentral:rRNA from 1 species
UACGUAGGGGGCAAGCGUUGUUCGGAAUUACUGGGCGUAAAGGGCGCGUAGGCGGUACAGCAAGUCGGGAGUGAAAGCCCGGGGCUCAACCCCGGAAUGGCUUUCGAAACUGCUGAACUAGAGUGCGGAAGGGGCAACUGGAAUUCCCAGUGUAGCGGUGAAAUGCGUAGAUAUUGGGAAGAACACCUGAGGCGAAGGCGGGUUGCUGGGCCGACACUGACGCUGAGGCGCGAAAGCCAGGGGAGCAAACGGG